rnacentral:rRNA from 1 species
AACGCUAGCUACAGGCUUAACACAUGCAAGUCGAGGGGCGGCAUGAAGUUUGCUUGCAAACUUUGAUGGCGACCGGCGCACGGGUGAGUAACGCGUAUCCAACCUGCCCCCUACCCGGGAAUAGCCCAGCGAAAGCUGGAUUAAUGCCCGAUGCAUUCCUUUGAGAGCAUUCGACGAGGAAUAAAGGAUUCCGGUAGGGGAUGGGGAUGCGUCUGAUUAGGUAGAUGGCGGGGUAACGGCCCACCAUGCCUACGAUCAGUAGGGGUUCUGAGAGGAAGGUCCCCCACAUUGGAACUGAGACACGGUCCAAACUCCUACGGGAGGCAGCAGUGAGGAAUAUUGGUCAAUGGGCGCGAGCCUGAACCAGCCAAGUAGCGUGCAGGAUGACGGCCCUAUGGGUUGUAAACUGCUUUUAUGCGGGGAUAAAGUGAGGGACGCGUCCCUUUUUGCAGGUACCGCAUGAAUAAGGACCGGCUAAUUCCGUGCCAGCAGCCGCGGUAAUACGGAAGGUCCGGGCGUUAUCCGGAUUUAUUGGGUUUAAAGGGAGCGUAGGCCGGCUUUUAAGCGUGUUGUGAAAUGCCGCGGCUCAACCGUGGCACUGCAGCGCGAACUGGAGGCCUUGAGUGCGCGGGAGGUAGGCGGAAUUCGUGGUGUAGCGGUGAAAUGCUUAGAUAUCACGAAGAACUCCGAUUG